rnacentral:rRNA from 1 species
AUUGAACGCUGGCGGCAGGCCUAACACAUGCAAGUCGAACGGUAACAGGAAACAGCUUGCUGUUUCGCUGACGAGUGGCGGACUGUUGAGUAAUGUCUGGGAAACUGCCUGAUGGAGGGGGAUAACUACUGGAAACGGUAGCUAAUACCGCAUAACUUCGCAAGACCAAAGAGGGGGACCUUCGGGCCUCUUGCCAUCGUAUGUGCCCAGAUGGGAUUAGCUAGUAGGUGGGGUAACGGCUCACCUAGGCGACGAUCCCUAUCUGGUCUGAGAGGAUGACCAGACACACGGGAACUGAGACACGGUCCAGACUCCUACGGGAGGCAGCAGUGGGGAAUAUUGCACAAUGGGCGAAAGCCUGAUGCAGCCAUGCCGCGUGUAUGAAGAAGGACUUCGGGUUGUAAAGUAAUUUAAGCGGGGAGGAAGGGAGUAAAGUUAAUACCUUUGCUCAUUGACGUUACCCGCAGAAGAAGCACCGGCUAACUCCGUG